GCAGCCGAGCAGAGUCGAUCAGAAUGAGAUUACUCCAACUGAAGCAGCUUCAACAUGUCGCCUUUCCCUCAAAACCCAUCAUCUCAUUCGUCUUCCAAACUCCCAUUGCACCACUAUCUUCUUCUUCUUCUAGUGAAGCUUCUCCUGCAUCAAAACCCAUCACCAACUCAAGUCUAACUCAAGAAGAGCUCACAAAGAUCAACCUCCUCCUCCUCCCACGCCUCUGCCUCUCAAACCACCUUCCCACAGCAAUCCACCUCACCUCCACAGUCCUCCUCACAAACCCACCUCCCAAAUCCCUCUCUCUUUCCAUUCUCGUCGACUCCCUCACUUCCCAGCCCGACAUGUCCCUCCCCAUGUCCCUCCUCACCCACCUCAAGCACAAUCCAGCGGCGCAUUCUCACCUCAUCCACAUCACCACCAUGCUCAUUGCUUCGUAUUUCAAGAAGUACAAGCCCAAGGAGGCCUUGAAAGUCUUCAACUGGAUGGUGAGGCCGGGCUCGCCGUGUGUGCUGGAUGAGAAGGUUUGCGGAAUUCUUGUUUAUGGGUUUUGUAAGCAGGGGAUGGUUCUUGAGGCCUUGAAGGUUUUGAGGGCGAUGUUGGGUGUGAAUUUGGUGCCGGGAAGAGAUUUAGGGACGUGGGUUUAUAGGGGUUUGCUGAGAGAGGCAAGGAUUAAGGAAGCGCUGGAAUUAAAUGAGGCUUUGGGCUUGGUUAAGGAUGUUGGUGGUGAUGAGGCUGUGAAGAAGGCUUUGGGAUUGUUGGAUCACAUGAUUGCGCUUUGGACAGACUAGAACAGUAAUUGAAUAGUCCUCCGGAAAAAGACCAAAGUACAAGAAGCAAGACUUGAGGUAGUAAGGCAGGUCCUGAUAACUGAGAGAGAGAAUUUUUGUAAUACUUAAGACCACCUAUGGCAACAAUUGCAAGUGGCAAGCCC